AUUUAGUCAUCACAUCACAAAUGGUUGGUGUGGUGGCUCACAGACAGAGAGGCAGUUUUACUGCAUGACCUCAUGAAUGUUAGAAAGGGUGCUUUCAAGCAUCACUUUUACCCCUAAGAACAGCAGCAAAGUGCUGCAACAGACAUUGGCUGACAUCCAGACUAAGUUACUCAAUAGUA